UGUACAAAAAACAUAAUCAAAAUUUGACAAUUAGACCCUUGUGAUCUAAAUGGAUUCAAAGGUUUGCUAACAUUUAUGAUAGAAUUAAAUAGUGAUGUUACAUAAAAUGGAUUCUAACAUUGUCACAUGGAAAAGGUGAUGGAUCCUGUUGUGGACAAGAAACGGUUUUAAGUAUCCAUCAUAGGUUGAAGAGGCUCCACCGUUCCCACCCCUCGAUUCUCCCUCCUUUCUCCUCCCACCAUGCUCCCAAGAACCGAGAGCAUCUUCCACCUGGGGGAGGAAGAAGGUGGUGAGGCUCCAGAGAGUGCAGCCGCCAUCACAGAGCUCGAUUGCUCCAAAUACGAAGGCCUUCGUAUCCUCAUACAGCGUUCGGGACGACCAUCCAACUAUGUCGUCAUCAAGUCUUUGUUGAAGCCAUUCACAUUCACGCCUAUGGUUUCGCCACCACGGUUUGGCUUCCUCAGAGCUUGCUGCUUCUGCAAAAGGGAGCUCAGUCUUCACAAGGAUGUGUACAUGUACAGGGCAGGGGAGAGCAGGGGUUCUGCAGCGAGGAAUGCCGUCGACGCCAAAUCCUGCAAGAUGAGAGGAGUGAACUCGGAGCGUCGACGAGGGAGAGGUCGAAGGCUCCUCUUCCUCGUCAUGCUUCCACCGGAGUUGAUGAUUCUGGCCGACGCAGGAGGAUCUCAGCAGUAGCCUAGAGAUAAAACCAUCCAUCAAGAAGCACAUCUGAUCUUUGUUUCCUUUCUCGUCUAAAAAGGAAGAGAAAGCUGCAUGUCUUAUGACUCUCGCAUUGUUGUAUGUCAAUAAAAAGAAAUAUGCUUCCAA